rnacentral:rRNA from 1 species
AUGUGGAAUGCAGUGGUGGAUGUGCUUGCAAUUAUGGUUGACGAUGCCCGAGAACACACUUCUCAAGGUGGAGCUUCAGGUUUGAUCAUACAGAUGGAAUGCUUCCAGUUUGUGUUCAUCAUGCUAUUCUUAAUAAACUUGUUGAGCAUCACUAAUUUGCUAUCACAAGCUUUGCAAAGAAAGAAACAAGAUGUUGUUGAAGCCAUGUGUUUGAUCUUGGAUGUGAAAGAAGCUUUGCAAAAUAUGAGGGACAAUGGGUAUGAGUCAUUAUGCGACCAAGCAAACAACUUCUGUGAGGAACAUAACAUUGAGGUGCCAAAUAUGGACGAUCUUGUUGGAGCUAUGGGGCAAUCUGUUCUCAGCAAGAAUAAGGUGACUCGACAUCAUUAUUUCAAUGUUAGCAUAUCCAAUGUUGCUCUUGAUGCAACUCUCACCGAGAUGAGUUAA